rnacentral:rRNA from 1 species
CUUUUCUUGUUAAUCUAUGAAGUAUAACCUGCCCAAUGAUAAAUUUUAAUGGCCGCGGUAUUAUGACCGUGCAAAGGUAGCAUAAUCAUUAGUCUUUUAAUUGGAGGCUGGAAUGAAUGGUUGGACGAAACAUUAACUGUCUUGAAUUAAUUUUAUUAAAAUUUAAUUAUUAAGUUAAAAAGCUUAAAUAUUUUUUUGGGACGAGAAGACCCUAUAGAGUUUUAUAUUAAAAUGAAUUUAAUUUGUUAGUAAUUUAAUUACUUUAUUAUAAUAUUUGGUUGGGGUGAUAAGGAGAUAAAAGUAACUCUCUUAAUUGUAUUAUGAAUAAAUUUAUUUAUUAUUGAUCCAUUAUUAUUGAUAAUAAGACUAAAUUACC